rnacentral:rRNA from 1 species
UACAGAGGGUGCGAGCGUUAAUCGGAGUUACUGGGCGUAAAGGGCGCGUAGGCGGUGAUAUGAGUGUGAUGUGGAAGCCCCGGGCUUAACCUGGGAAGUGCAUCGCAAACGAUAUGACUGGAGUACAAGAGAGGGUGGCGGAAUUUCCGGUGUAGCGGUGAAAUGCGUAGAGAUCGGAAGGAACGUCAAUGGCGAAGGCAGCCACCUG